GACGAACGCUGGCGGCGUGCUUAACACAUGCAAGUCGAGCGGUAAGGCCCUUUCGGGGGUACACGAGCGGCGAACGGGUGAGUAACACGUGGGUGACCUGCCCUCAGCUCUGGGAUAAGCCUGGGAAACCGGGGUCUAAUACUGGAUAUGACUCCAUGACGCAUGUUGUGGGGUGGAAAGCCUUGUGCGGCUGAGGAUGGGCCCGCGGCCUAUCAGCUUGUUGGUGGGGUGA
rnacentral:rRNA from 1 species